rnacentral:rRNA from 1 species
GGUUCAGGACGAACGCUGGCGGCGUGCCGUAAUACAUAGGCAAGGUCGAACGGUCGUUUCUACGGAAGCUUGCUUCCACUGAGAAGAUAGUGGCGAACGGGUGAGUAACACGUGGGUAACCUGCCCAUAAGAGGGGGAUAACAUCCGGAAACGGGUGCUAAUACCGCAUAGUUUUCUUGAUCGCAUGAUUGAGAAAGGAAAGACGGCCUUUGUGCUGUCGCUUAUGGAUGGACCCGCGGCGUAUUAGUUAGUUGGUGAGGUAACGGCUCACCAAGACGAUGAUACGUAGCCGACCUGAGAGGGUGAUCGGCCACAUUGGGACUGAGACACGGCCCAAACUCCUACGGGAGGCAGCAGUAGGGAAUCUUCCGCAAUGGACGAAAGUCUGACGGAGCAACGCCGCGUGAGUGAAGAAAGGUUUUCGGAUCGUAAAACUCUGUUGUCAGAGAAGAACAAGUUGGAGAGUAACUGCUCCAGCCUUGACGGUAUCUGACCAGAAAGCCACGGCUAACUACGUGCCAGCCGCUGC